UUAAGCGACUAAGCGUACACGGUGGAUGCCCUGGCAGUCAGAGGCGAUGAAGGACGUGCUAAUCUGCGAUAAGCGUCGGUAAGGUGAUAUGAACCGUUAUAACCGGCGAUUUCCGAAUGGGGAAACCCAGUGUGUUUCGACACACUAUCAUUAACUGAAUCCAUAGGUUAAUGAGGCGAACCGGGGGAACUGAAACAUCUAAGUACCCCGAGGAAAAGAAAUCAACCGAGAUUCCCCCAGUAGCGGCGAGCGAACGGGGAGCAGCCCAGAGCCUGAAUCAGUGUGUGUGUUAGUGGAAGCGUCUGGAAAGGCGCGCGAUACAGGGUGACAGCCCCGUACACAAAAAUGCACAUGCUGUGAGCUCGAUGAGUAGGGCGGGACACGUGGUAUCCUGUCUGAAUAUGGGGGGACCAUCCUCCAAGGCUAAAUACUCCUGACUGACCGAUAGUGAACCAGUACCGUGAGGGAAAGGCGAAAAGAACCCCGGCGAGGGGAGUGAAAAAGAACCUGAAACCGUGUACGUACAAGCAGUGGGAGCACGCUUAGGCGUGUGACUGCGUACCUUUUGUAUAAUGGGUCAGCGACUUAUAUUCUGUAGCAAGGUUAACCGAAUAGGGGAGCCGAAGGGAAACCGAGUCUUAACUGGGCGUUAAGUUGCAGGGUAUAGACCCGAAACCCGGUGAUCUAGCCAUGGGCAGGUUGAAGGUUGGGUAACACUAACUGGAGGACCGAACCGACUAAUGUUGAAAAAUUAGCGGAUGACUUGUGGCUGGGGGUGAAAGGCCAAUCAAACCGGGAGAUAGCUGGUUCUCCCCGAAAGCUAUUUAGGUAGCGCCUCGUGAAUUCAUCUCCGGGGGUAGAGCACUGUUUCGGCAAGGGGGUCAUCCCGACUUACCAACCCGAUGCAAACUGCGAAUACCGGAGAAUGUUAUCACGGGAGACACACGGCGGGUGCUAACGUCCGUCGUGAAGAGGGAAACAACCCAGACCGCCAGCUAAGGUCCCAAAGUCAUGGUUAAGUGGGAAACGAUGUGGGAAGGCCCAGACAGCCAGGAUGUUGGCUUAGAAGCAGCCAUCAUUUAAAGAAAGCGUAAUAGCUCACUGGUCGAGUCGGCCUGCGCGGAAGAUGUAACGGGGCUAAACCAUGCACCGAAGCUGCGGCAGCGACGCUGAUGCGUUGUUGGGUAGGGGAGCGUUCUGUAAGCCUGCGAAGGUGUGCUGUGAGGCAUGCUGGAGGUAUCAGAAGUGCGAAUGCUGACAUAAGUAACGAUAAAGCGGGUGAAAAGCCCGCUCGCCGGAAGACCAAGGGUUCCUGUCCAACGUUAAUCGGGGCAGGGUGAGUCGACCCCUAAGGCGAGGCCGAAAGGCGUAGUCGAUGGGAAACAGGUUAAUAUUCCUGUACUUGGUGUUACUGCGAAGGGGGGACGGAGAAGGCUAUGUUGGCCGGGCGACGGUUGUCCCGGUUUAAGCGUGUAGGCUGGUUUUCCAGGCAAAUCCGGAAAAUCAAGGCUGAGGCGUGAUGACGAGGCACUACGGUGCUGAAGCAACAAAUGCCCUGCUUCCAGGAAAAGCCUCUAAGCAUCAGGUAACAUCAAAUCGUACCCCAAACCGACACAGGUGGUCAGGUAGAGAAUACCAAGGCGCUUGAGAGAACUCGGGUGAAGGAACUAGGCAAAAUGGUGCCGUAACUUCGGGAGAAGGCACGCUGAUAUGUAGGUGAGGUCCCUCGCGGAUGGAGCUGAAAUCAGUCGAAGAUACCAGCUGGCUGCAACUGUUUAUUAAAAACACAGCACUGUGCAAACACGAAAGUGGACGUAUACGGUGUGACGCCUGCCCGGUGCCGGAAGGUUAAUUGAUGGGGUUAGCGCAAGCGAAGCUCUUGAUCGAAGCCCCGGUAAACGGCGGCCGUAACUAUAACGGUCCUAAGGUAGCGAAAUUCCUUGUCGGGUAAGUUCCGACCUGCACGAAUGGCGUAAUGAUGGCCAGGCUGUCUCCACCCGAGACUCAGUGAAAUUGAACUCGCUGUGAAGAUGCAGUGUACCCGCGGCAAGACGGAAAGACCCCGUGAACCUUUACUAUAGCUUGACACUGAACAUUGAGCCUUGAUGUGUAGGAUAGGUGGGAGGCUUAGAAGUGUGGACGCCAGUCUGCAUGGAGCCGACCUUGAAAUACCACCCUUUAAUGUUUGAUGUUCUAACGU
rnacentral:rRNA from 1 species